UUUUUUAUUUUUACUGUUCGGUAACGUAACUUAAGGCCAAGUUAGUCAAAAAAAUCUUGCGACUUAUUUUUCUAAAAAUAAUGCUUUGAAUGUUUUAAAUGACUUUUAAAUAAUUUUUGAUAUGGUGUGCAUUUCUCUACGAUCUGUAAGGUAUUUGCUUGAAAAUGGAUUUAUCGAAAAUUUACAAACUCUUUAUUCAGAAUUGUCAGUAAAGAUUAAUCUCCUUCAUAAGUCAGAUUUUUUAUCAGUUGUUGACUGUUAAUAAGUCAAUAAAGAGAAAUAGUUCUGUUGAGCUUGAGUUUCUUUUGAGUCUUUCUGUUGAGUUCAAAAAUUGCGCUCAGGAAUGCCAGUCAAGAACAACUAUGGCGGUGAAAUUUACCUGUCAAAUGUUAAUCGAAACUGGUACCGUUAUGUACUUGCAAAAUAUUAUUUGAUCGUAUGAUUACUUGUGAAAAGCAGAGAACACUUUUCACUUGGUACUUUUUAAAUUAAAAAACUACAUACCUAGAAAAAAAUGUUUUAAUAUUUUGUUAUAAUUUAAUCAUACUGUGUAUUAAAUUUGUAAUUUAAUAAUAUGUAGCUAUUAUAGUAACUUGUUUUUACUUAGUUUGUUGUGUCUAUUUUUUAAAUAUGCAAUAGCAUUUUGAGCCGCUUUUUUGAAGGCUUUUACAAAUAACUUAUUAAACAAAUGGGGUAGGUGCUUUUUUUUGUAUUUCACCUUCAUCCCUCCCCCCAUUCUUUCGUGGGGAGGGGGCGGUGAAAUCUGCAACCGACUUUUUUGACUAACCUCUUUAAAAAGCUAAACCUGCCCCUGUGUAACGUAAGUUAAAACUACAAACAUUUUCAUAAGUUCUGGCGCUCUUUCGUUAACAAAAUUAAUUACGUCAUUAAGUUAUUAUUUCGUUGACAAGGUUUUAACUGGAACUUUUUAUAUUAGGAGAAUUUAGUAAAAAAUCUUU